rnacentral:rRNA from 1 species
UACGGAAGGCAGCAGUGGGGAAUAUUGCACAAUGGGCGCAAGCCUGAUGCAGCCAUGCCGCGUGUAUGAAGAAGGCCUUCGGGUUGUAAAGUACUUUCAGUCGUGAGGAAGGUGUUAAGGUUAAUAACCUUAGCAAUUGACGUUAGCGACAGAAGAAGCACCGGCUAACUCCGUGCCAGCAGCCGCGGUAAUACGGAGGGUGCGAGCGUUAAUCGGAAUUACUGGGCGUUAAAGGGCACGCAGGCGGUUAAUUAAGUUGGAUGUGAAAUCCCCGGGCUUAACCUGGGAAUGGCAUUCAAGACUGGUUAGCUAGAGUCUUGUAGAGGGGGUAGAAUUCCAUGUGUAGCGGUGAAAUGCGUAGAGAUGUGGAGGAAAUACCGGUGGCGAAAGGCGGCCCCUGGACAAAGGACUGACGCUCAUGUGCGAAAGCGUGGGGAGCAAACAGGAUUAGAUACC